GGUGGCUCAGUGGUAGGGUGCUUGCCUUGUAUGCAUGAAGCCCUAGGUUCAAUUCCUCAGCACCA
rnacentral:tRNA from 1 species